rnacentral:rRNA from 1 species
GACGAACGCUGGCGGCAUGCCUAACACAUGCAAGUCGCACGAGAAAGCCCGGUUCGCCGGGCAAGUAAAGUGGCGCACGGGUGAGUAACGCGUGGAUAAUCUACCUCGUUCUGGGGGAUAACCCAUCGAAAGGUGGGCUAAUACCGCAUAAUCCGGCUUAUUUUAGAAUUGGUCGGCAAAGGUGGCCUCUUGAUCAAAGCUACCGGGAAGAGAUGAGUCCGCGUCCCAUUAGCUAGUUGGUAGGGUAACGGCCUACCAAGGCGACGAUGGGUAGCUGGUCUGAGAGGACGAUCAGCCACACUGGAACUGGUACACGGUCCAGACACCUACGGGUGGCAG